UACAGAGGGGGCAAGCGUUGUCCGGAUUUAUUGGGCGUAAAGAGCGUGUAGGCGGCCUGAAAGGUCAGCUGUGAAAACUCGAGGCUCAACCUCGAGACGUCGGUUGAAACCAUCUGGCUAGAGUCCGGAAGAGGAGUGUGGAAUUCCCGGUGUAGCGGUGAAAUGCGCAGAUAUCGGGAAGAACACCCGUGGCGAAGGCGGCACUCUGGGACGGUACUGACGCUGAGACGCGAAAGCGUGGGGAGCGAACAGG
rnacentral:rRNA from 1 species